UCGAUCUUCAGAAAGUUAUUUCAAUUUUGUUCUCUUGUUUCUGAAAUUGAUCUAUUCACAGAUUUGGUUGUUGUUAUUUUUGUGAGGUAACUACUGGUAGUUAUAAGGUUGUCGCUGUAUAUAUGCUUGCUAGUCUAUGUUUAGAGUUGAUUAAGCUUCUUGUUGUUAUUUUCUCCAUCAACUGGAAAUGUUGGGUUACUCUUUGUUGAUUGGUUAUGGUUGAUAAUUGCUAUUUUGUUAGGGGAAUGAGGUUUGAUUAUGAUGGGAAAGGUAAAAUGUUAAGUGUUAGGAGGGGACCGUAAGAGAAUAGCCAGAGUUAGAUUCAGCUUUGAUUACCAUGGCCAAGUUGCAAAUGACUUGCUGUUCUGGAGGUGCAAGGAGAAACUGAGUGUCGGGCUCUAUAUAUUUGUUUUUCCAAAUCCUCCAAGUUUCAUUACUUUAAGUGUCAAUUGUGUUUUGUCUUUGCUAUUUCUGCUGUUAGUAACAUGGUUCUUUUGUUUCUCUUUUUUGGUCUGAUACCUUUUUGAGCUUAACUAUAUAUAUAUGCAUAGCUUUGCUACCACACAUGAUUGUUUUCUAGGGGACUAAAUCCCCUUGGGGAGAUUUCCCUUCAUUUGGAUCCGCUUUGAGAUUUCAGUCAUUUCUCCUCACUUUGAUCCGUGUUGAGGGAUUUUACCUCAUUUAGAUCUGCUUUGAGGAGAUUUCACCUCACUAUAAUUAAUACGCCUUGUGGGAAUUUCACCUCACUUGGAUCCGUCUUGAGGAGAUUAAUUUCACUCACUAAGGUCCGUCUAGCUUGAGGGAAUUUAACCUCACUUGGAUCUGUUUUGAAGAGAUUUUACCUCACUUGGAUCUUCCUUAAGGAGAUUUCAUCUUGACUACUCUUUUAGCUCUUCUUCCUUAUCAGGGAUAAGGAUAGGUGGCUGACGGUCUGUUAGAGGAGGGAGGAGAAAGAAAGAAAAGGAACAGAGAGAGGGAUGGAAAGAAAGAAAGGGAACAGAGAGGGGAGGGAAAGAAAAAGAAGAGGGGGAGGAG